rnacentral:rRNA from 1 species
AUGGCCACCUCCUACUCGAGCAACCAGCGCCCUGCUGCUUUCUCUCCCCUGUUCAAUCCGGAGGAGAGGAGCUCCUCCAGGCCCCACCUAGCGCGAUGGUCGCCGGCCACCCAAGCAUCAGCAGCAGAUGAGCAUCGCGACCCUCCUCUUCCUCCUGUUUUCUCUUUCUCCUCGUCUUCCUCCUCCAUCUCUCAACUCCACUCCUCUGCUUCCUCUGUUUCCAGCAGGACCACGAGAUGUGCACCGACCCUGCCGUCGCCUGCCUCCGCCGCCCUGGCCCGUUCCCGGCCGGUUUCCGCCGGCGACGCCCCGCACCAGGACCCGCUCGUCUCUGCCGCCGCACAGCUCUGA